ensembl:rRNA 5S_rRNA 5S ribosomal RNA
GCUGGCAGCUAGCUCUCUGCAUCUCUCGCAUGGUUGCCCACUGGACCUAAGCAGGGCUGAGCCUGGUCAGUACCUGAAUGGGACACCACAUGGGAAGACUAGGUUGCUUCCAGAA